ACCUUUUAAAACGCGUCAAAGCGUAACCUUAAUCUCACAAAAUACCAUCAACCUUCAUGAACCCUUAAUUUAUAAUGAAUGACUCCAUAUUAAUAUGGAAGACACCAUGUUAGGAUUAGUAACAAGAAUUUAUAAUUCUCCAAAAUGCAAAUAUAAACCAACAUGGAUCGACCAUUGGUAAUUACCGAACCUAAACCUACUGCAAUAACGCCACAAGAAAACCCUGCAGUAUUUACUCGUUAACCUAACACUAGCGCAUUCCAGGAAAGAUUUAAAAAAAGAGAAGGAAUUCGGCAAAUGACGGCCCCGCCUGUUUACCAAAAACAUCGCCUCUUGGCUAUAAUAAGAGGUCCAGCCUGCCCAGUGAAUUUUAAACGGCCGCGGUAUCCUAACCGCGCGAAGGUAGCAUAAUCACUUGUUCUUUAAAUGGGGACUCGUAUCAACGGCAUCACGAGGGUUUUACUGUCUCCUCUUUUUGAUCAGUGAAAUUGAUCUUCCCGUGAAGAAGCGGGAAUAUUAAUAUAAGACGAGAAGACCCCAUGGAGCUUCAAACCAAAUAACAACUUAACCACUUAACCCAUAAUAAAUUUAAGCCAUGUUAUAAGGUUUUGGGUUGGGGUGACCGCGGAGUAAAGCACAUCCUCCACGACGGAAAGAACACAAUCUUUAUUUAAGAACUACAAUUCUAGAAAUUAGUAUACUAACGUUUACUGACCCGAUAAUCGAUCAACGGACCAAGUUACCCUGGGGAUAACAGCGCAAUCUACUUCAAGAGCUCAUAUCGACAAGUAGGCUUACGACCUCGAUGUUGGAUCAGGGUAUCCCGGUGGUGCAGCCGCUACCGAAGGUUCGUUUGUUCAACGAUUAAAACCCUACGUG
rnacentral:rRNA from 1 species